CCAGCUCGCAGGCCACGAAGCUCACUACGCACAGGAUGUCAUACAUCCGAUAUCGUGAGCGGGCUAAGGUCUGAGUAUUAUAAUCUCCUUCGAUUGGCUCUAGCGGGGCCAGGUCGUAAUGCGACCAAGCGAUGUACCAGAAAAUCAGCCUUUUUUCCUCGAUCGCCCAAGAUCCUGUUAUUCAGGGGAGGUGAGGAGACUAUGGCUUUGGAAUGCGUCGCGGGGAUCGGGCAGGGUUCUGGGUCGCUGUCUAUCGCCUUUAUCUCGCAGAUGUGCCCCCGAAAAGGGCGCUCUGAGCGUACAUCAGCAGCGAACGUAGCUGGCCAAACUAACCACCAUAGACCACGGUCGACGGUCAGAUUUGGUAGGAUACUUGAACAGUAAGACCCAGUGCGUUCUGCCUCGAGUUUCCCUAUUGUUAAGUGUUGUAUAGCAUUUUGAUGUAGGGUGUAAUCGUGGCAUUGCACCGGGGUGAUUGUUCGAAGACCUUCUGUUUGGUCUGACAGUUCCGUGUCAGCGGUUGGUAGCUCUAGCCAUGAAGGCGAAGUUUGUUCCUGCGCGCAAAAGACAUUCCCUGCGAACGAGAGGGUGAUGGGUACGGUACAGAGAACUCUUGCCCUUUAGUGCACUUCGUGGCCCACAUCUCUAUCUGAGAUGUGGAACUCGAUUCAGACUACUCUCGGACUGG
rnacentral:RNase_P_RNA from 2 species